CUGAGCUCAAGCGAUCCUCCUGCUUCGGCCUCCCAGAGUGCUGGGAUUACAGGUAUGAGCCACUGUGCCCAGCCCCUGUCCAGCAUGUUGAUAAGAUUCCCAUGGUCACCAGCUUCCCUUCAGCUCCUGUAGGAAUCUCCUCAAUUAGGGGACACAGAUGGGUCCUCUGAAAUCACUGAAUCCCAGAAACGUUCUUCACCAAAGAAUAGGGGAAAGGGUGCUACAUACAGCGGCUCAUGGACCUUCCUUCAGGAAAAGGCAAGAGACAUGAGGCUUCCUUCUGGAAACUGGGAGCUGGCAGCCCAGACCGUGGGAGUUCCAAAUGAGGUCAAACAGAACUUCCUCCCUUCUGAUCCAUCUGCACAAACUCUGCCCUAAUUCCAACCAUUCCAAUCUGCUGUCUUGGAGAGAAUGGUGCCUCUACCCCUCAUUUAAGGAGCAUGAAAACAUGCAGGCAUUGCUUCUCAGAGCUGAACUACUAUAAACCUGAGUUUCAUUGUUUUA